rnacentral:rRNA from 1 species
AACGAACGCUGGCGGCAUGCCUAACACAUGCAAGUCGAACGAGACCUUCGGGUUUAGUGGCGCACGGGUGCGUAAAGCGUGGGAACAUGCCCUUAGGUUCGGAAUAAAUCCCUGAAAGGGGUCCUAAUACCGGAUAAUGUCUUCGGACCAUAGAUUUAUCGCCUUUGGAUGGGCUCGCGUUGGAUUAGCUAGUUGGUAGGGUAAAAGCCUGACAAGGCGACGAUCCAUAGCUGGUCUGAGAGGAUGAUCAGCCACACUGGGACUGAGGCACGGCCCAGACUCCUACGGGAGGCAGCAGUAGGUAAUAUUGGAGGAUGGGCGAAAGCCUGAUCCAGCAAUGCCGCGUGAGUGAGGAAGGCCUUAGGGAUGUAAAGCUCUUUUACCCGGGAUGAUAAUGACAGUACCGGGAGAAUAAGCUCCGGCUAACUCCGUG